ensembl:snRNA U6 U6 spliceosomal RNA
AUGCUUCCCCAGAACCUCCCCUAAAAAUGGAACAAUAUAGAGAAGGUUACCCCGGGAUCUGCGCAAAGGAUAACAUGCAAAUUUGUGAAGCGUUCCAUAUUUAA